rfam:Brachyspira hyodysenteriae WA1, complete genome.
UUCGGUGACCAUAGAGAAAGUGAUACACCCGUUCCCAUUCCGAACACGGCAGUUAAGCCUUUCAUCGUCGAUGGUACUGUAAGGGUAGCUUUACGGGAGAGUAGAACGUUGCCGGGU